CAACAGAGACAAAUAUACACGAGGAACUGAAAACUCAAAGGUUGAGAAUCUACACUUGCCAGGAGCAAGAUGCUGCUGGUAUUCUCAUCGAGGAUGUCCCAGUGCUUCCUGGUCUUGAAACUCCAGCAAGAGCAUGCUGCCUACUCCUCGGAUUAACAUAUGCCCUAAAUCUGGAAUAUACACCCAAACUCUCAGACAUUUGAGGUCUUCUAAAGACUUUGUUUUACUGGACUUGCUGCGGCCAAAACCAACAGAAAGCUUCUUGCCUAAGCUGGUCCACCAUGAACAGUUUUAGCUCCUGUUCAACAACGUCAUACCUGGGUUUCAAAGACAGCUGUGGAGCUUAAUGGAGUGCACCCACCAACAAGUCAAUUGUUCUUUUGUUAAUUGUCCUUGUAGGCAGAUGUAGGUGGAGUUUAUGACAAAUGUUUUCACUGUGAAGAUUUUAUCAGCUGCAGGAAAUGUGUUUGUGGUGAGCCUGGCAUUUGCUGACUUGGUGGUUGCGUUCUACCCCUACCCGCUGGUGUUGUAUGCUAUCUUCCAUGAUGGCUGGUCUCUGGGUGAGACCAACUGCAAGGUGAGUGGCUUCCUGAUGGGAUUGAGCGUCAUUGGUUCCAUCUUCAACAUAACAGGCAUUGCCAUCAACCGUUAUUGUUACAUCUGCCACAGUUUCAGUUAUGACAAGCUCUACAGCUACCGCAACACGCUGCUACUGGUGGUACUCAUUUGGCUGCUGACAGUCGUAGCAAUUAUACCCAACUUCUUUGUUGGUUCGCUGCAGUAUGACCCACGCAUCUAUUCAUGCACAUUUGCACAGACAGUCAGCUCAUCCUACACCAUCACAGUGGUGGUCAUUCAUUUUUUUAUACCGAUCACUGUGGUCACCUUCUGCUACCUUCGUAUCUGGAUCCUGGUCAUCCAGGUGAGACGGAAGGUGAAGUCAGAGGUCCGCCCUCGCAUCAAGCCUAGUGACCUGAGGAAUUUUAUCACCAUGUUUGUGGUCUUUGUGCUGUUUGCAAUUUGUUGGGCACCACUCAACUUUAUUGGUCUUGCUGUUGCGAUUAACCCUGAAGCAGUGGCACCACACAUCCCAGAGUGGUUCUUUGUAGUCAGCUACUUCAUGGCUUACUUCAACAGUUGCCUUAAUGCCAUUAUCUAUGGCCUGCUGAACCAGAACUUUCGAAGAGAGUACAAACGGAUCAUUAUGUCUGUAUGGAUGCCACACCUCUUGUUCCAGGAGACAUCACGGGGGGGUACUGAGGGGCUGAAGAGUAAACCCUCCCCGGGACUAAAUAACAAUGAGCAAGUGAAAGGGGAAACUCUGUGACACUGUUUUCUUCUUCUUUCAUUACCUUAUCCCCUCUCGUCUGUGUUCACUUGUGCCAUCAAGCAUCUGUGCCAAAGCAAUGAACUAUUAGUGUGGAAAACUAAGACUGAAAUAAUAAUGGUGAAUGAAGUGGCAUAUGGACUACUGUAGCUAUGUUAUCCAGUCUUUUAAAGCUGAGGGCUCAUCAGUUUUGGUUUAUAAUGAUUUAUUCAAAUAUGAUAUGUGCUAAUUUUUCAAUAGUCCAUGGCUAAAACAGAUUUUUAGCUAGAUUUGUGUUGCUCAGUAACUAUAGUUGAUGCAUGUGAGAACAAGUUUCAAUGAAUAAAUUAAGAUAAAAAUGGAGAACACCAAAGGAAAUAUACAUACAUGCAUACAUACAUAUAUGUACACACACACACACACACACACACACACACACACACACACACACACACAUAUAUAUAUAUACAUAUAUAUACAGGGACGGCUGGUAUAAAUGGGCUAACAGAGCUAAGCCCUCCCAGGCCAACACAAAAAAGAUGAGAAAAUUAUUUUUCAAAUAACUUACAACAGAUUGUUUUAAGUUUAGGUGAAAACAAAGGAAGCAACAGCACCAAUCAGUCAAAAGAAAAACAUAGAAUAUCUCUAAAUGGGUUUAUUUUUUUACAGCCCCAGCAGAUACAGUCCGCUUUCAUUCAUUUCGUUCUUGUAAGUGAUUGACAGGUGUCAUGUCCCGCCCCCGUGAUUUACUGAUCAUGUGGGCUAACUUCAGGCAGCCCACAGGCCACUGACAUUUGACCAAUAGCAGUGAGUUAACACAGUGGUGGCUUUCAUUCAUUUCAUUCUUGUAAGUGAUUUGCAGGUGUCAUGUCCCGCCCCCGUGAUUUACUGAUCAUUUGGGCUAACUUCAGGCAGCGAACAGGCCACUGACUUUUGACCAAUAGCAGUGAGUUAACACAGCGAUGGCUUUCAUUCAUUUCGUUCUUGUAAGUGAUUGACAGGUGUCAUGUCCCACCCCGUGAUUUACUGAUCAUUUGGGCCAUAGAUAUAUAUAUAAACACUAGAUGGCUCAUGAGCACUGUCAGCCUAUGGGGAGCGACGUCGUCACAUGGCGGCCAUCUUGGGACAGGGCUGCUCGAUCACUCAUAACAUUAAAGUCAAUGAAGCAUGGAUUAUAAAAUCACUGUGGAUUGCUCAAUUUUCAACCGAUUUUAGAACACCUUGGUUUGUUAUAAACGUCAGAGAUGUACUUCUUUUACUGCUUACUCAAGAAUAAUUAAAACCAUUGAAUUCAUAUAAAAAUUAUAUUAAGUAGAUAGGUAAUAAAGAAAUAGUUAUACACACACAGAUAUUAUAAUGUCAAUCUUUAAUAUUUACAAUAUUCUAAUAGACAAAAUAAAUAAGUGAUGAUGAAUAAAUAGGGCUGCUCAGUGGUUAGCACUUUCGCCUUGCAGCAAGAAGAUCCCUGGUUCGAAUCCCGGGGUGGACCUGGGAUCUUUCUGCAUGGAGUUUGCAUGUUCUCCCUGAGCAUGCCCGUAGGUGUGAAUGCAAGUGUGAUUGUUCGUCUGUGUAUGUAGCCCUGCGACAGACUGGCGACCUGUCCAGGGUGUCCCCUGCCUUCGCCCGAGUCAGCUGGGAUAGGCUCCAGCACCCCCCGCGACCCUAAUGAGGAUAAAGCGGUGUAUGGAGAAUGGAUGGAUGGAUGAUGAAUAAAUAAGAAAAAGUAAUGCUAAAAUGAAAAAAACCCCAAUGACAUUUGAACAAAAAAUAAAUAAUGAAUAAAGAAAAAUAAUAACAGGGUUCCCACUCUUUUCAAUAAAUCAUUUUCCAGGAUUUUUGCAGUGUCCCACAACCAACUGAAGUUACAACAAUGGAGUGGGCAAUUUUUAAGUUAAUCUAGCCUUCUUAAAAAAACAAGACUAAAGAUUGAUGACCAAUAUCUCUAACUAGCUGCACGGUAUCAUGUUAAGCUUUUGAAUUUAUUUAUUUCUAAAUCUCGGGCAUGAAAGUUGUCUGCUAGCUGUCUUUUUAGUCAAAGGUUAUUUAGUGUCUUACUAUUCUUAAUUUAUGGUUUAUACUUAUAUUGUAAUCUUUAUUUACCCUGCAUUUUUAUAAAUAUAUUUUGCAGAUUUACUGUUUAAACAAGUUUUAACAAACAAAUAAAUACAACCACAACCACAAAGAAUGUAAUUUCACCUAAAGAUUAGGUUCUCAAAAAACGGUGGUCUCAGGAAAACCUAAUAAUUGAAAAUCAGAUUGUGUUCUCAGCCUUGAGUAGCCAGGCAGAAAAGAUACACAACUAUGCUGCAUUUUUCAAAAUGAAAAGCUGUGAUUUCAACAUUUAACCUGAAUCAUAGCCACAUUAAUAAGGUUUGUAAUAAACUAAACUGUUUGUAAAUCAAUCAAGAAUUGACCAAGUUAUGAGUGUUAAAGUGAGGAAAUCAUCCACCUUACCAUUGACUACAGUACAGCGCGCCAGAGCAGUCCCCUGUCCCAAGUGACGACGCUGCCGACCCCGCCUUGAGACAUCUAGUGUUUGUAUAUAUCUAUGAUUUGGGCUAACUUCAGUCAGCCCACAGGCCUUUGACGCAGUGAGAAAAGGUUAAGCUAGGGCGGGCGUUAGCAUGAACGAGGUGGAUUAUUUGCUUUCAUGUCCAUUUUCCUCAAUGUCUUUGGAGGAAAAGCUGGAAAUUAAGAGACUGGGAUCACAUCAGCCGUCGAUGUGAGCUUCUUUUCAAAUAAGGUAGGCCCAAGUUGACCUGUUAAAGGACUGUGACACCUUGUUUUUGCUGAGGUCAUCCAUUGUACUGAAGGCCUGUUUUGCACUACAUAUCGCCAAACAGUUGUAAUAAGACAGUUGCAGCAGGCUAUCUGUGGGCAAUCGUUGCAGUUGGAACACUGUGUGUGUGUGUGCGUGUGUGUGCGUGUGUGUGCGUGUGUGUGUGUGUGUGAGUGUGAGUGAGUGAGUGAGUGAGUGAGAGUGUUGAUGUAGAGUACUAAAAAAGUAUAGUAUACCUGUAAUUGAUGUAACUGUGUGUAUCAUAGGUGAUGUUGCUUUUGCAGCUGUGUUAACCAUUUAAUCGGUAUUUUGCAUUUGUUAGCCCACCCAACAAAUUUCACCACCAGCCGGUGGUAUAUGCAUAUAUAUAUGCAUACACACACACACACACACACACACACACACACACACACACACACACACACAUACUUUUGAAACUUUAGAAAAAUCUGAUCAUACUCUGGCUAGGGCUAUGGAGUUAGUUUAUAUUCCGUCAUUUACAUAUGAUCAUACAACGUUUAGUACAAGAAAUAGCAUGUUUUUAUAUAGCAGGAGUACAGGUGUGAAGCUUGAGAUGCUGGAUGAAGCAUGGUUGUGCACGAUUGCCAGAACCCUUUGCAGGAUAAACUUAACAUUUUUACCGAAUAAUUCUAUGAACAAGACACACUCUGAGCCUCAGAAGGAACUGAUGUCUUUUUGCAAUUUUCUGUUUUCUUUUGUGAGAACAAAUAGCAACUACUCCAUAUUCAAAAACAGUAGAAUUUAAUAGUUUUCCCACACAACAAAGCAACAUCACAGUUGUGUCCUUCUAAUUUACUGUUGUGUGGCUCUAUUGUUUGACAAGAAAUGGAUGCAAAAGAGACAUGCAGUAUCUGUAAUAGAGGAAAUGUCUUUCUACCCCACGAGAUGACCGUGCACUCCUCCAUUUCUGUGUCAGGAAUCGUCAGACCUCCAGGGACCUUAAAAAUGGGCAGGCACUGCCAAGAAAUGUUACUUGUUCGGCAAGGACAGUUCGAAAUUGACAUCUUGAAGCUGGUCUGAAGUCACACAGGGCACAGAAGAAGCCCCCGACCAAGUCGGCCCAUAGUCAAGUCAGCCCCAUGCAAACUCGGCCCCUUAUCACAAACACAAUUGAGGCCAGUGAAUAGGUGCCAGCUUAUUAAUUAAUCCAAUCCAAUUGGCCAGAACUUUGUAUGUUACUGCCGGCUUGAAUUAUAAUAUGACACUGCAAUAACUGCAAAAAACUGCCUGUAAUUGCUGUCAUAAUGGGGCUGUAAUUGCUGUCAUAAUAGCCCUGUAUUACUAACCAUACAAUCAUUUACUGCAAUCAACUGCAGUCACUGCAAAAACUGCCUGUAAUUGCUGUCAUAAUGGGGCCGAGUAGACUAGGGGCCAACUUGGUAUGGGGCCGACUUGGUCGGGGCCGACUUGGCUGGGGGCCGAGUUGACUGACAUCCACAAGGAUUUGACUGUUGAUGAUUGGGCUUCUGUAAGUCCUGAUCAACAUCCACGCCCCCUAUGAUCCAUGGUUAGUCUGUCUUACCCCUUUAUGACCAAAAACAACCAGGUGCUAGUUCAGUACUACUUCAGUGUUGGUGCUUAGGUGGUUCAAAUGUCAUGCCUCCUAACAACCGGUUUGCUUUUCCAAGUUAGAGCCACGUCACUGCAUCACCGUAAAACUUUAGUAUGUCUUUGCAUGUGCUGUUCAACAGCGUUCAGCCACCGUAACCAUGCAAAGUGCUGUUCCUGGCUUUGCAAGCCUACAUUGCGACCCAGAAACAAAAAUCAAACUGAUAGUAGCUACCUGUCUUCAUCCUAGUCACAAGCAAUGGGGGAGAAGACAGGUAGUUGUCAGAGACAUUUUGAUUCUUAACAGUGAAUGUUAGUGUUAGCUUUGGCUCCUUAGUUUCAACUACAUUUGCAUUCAUUACAUAGCAGUUAAACAAAUGCAAAAAGUGUUUACCGGGUUCAGGAGUUCCUCGAAGUGCUCUUUCCACCGCUCGACGAUAUCCCCAGUGCAGGUCAACAGUUCUCCACCCCGACUGUACACAGCCUGAGCGAAGCCCUGCCUCCCCUUCCUGAGGUGUCGAACGGUUUGCCAGAACUUCCCCGAGGCCGACCGAAAGUCCUUCUCCAUGGCCUCCCUGAACUCCUCCCACACCCGAGUUUUAGCUUCCACAACUGCCACAGCUGCUGCCCUUUUGGUCAGCCAGUACCUGUCAGCUGCUUCGGGAGACCCCCGAGCCAACCAGGCUCGAAAAGCCUCCUUUUUCAGCUUGAUGGCCUCCCUUACCGCUGGUGUCCACCAGCGGGGUCUUUGGAUUGCCGCCGCGACAGGCACCAGUGAUCUUAAGACCACAGCUCCUAGCAGCUGCUUCUGCAAUGGAGGCUUUGAACAUGGACCACUCAGAAUCCAUGUCCCCAACCUCCCCCGGGAUGCAGGAGAAACUCUUCUGGAGGUGGGAGUUAAAAACCCUAUGGACAGGGCCCUCCGCCAGACGUUCCCAGUUCACCCGCACUACACGUUUGGGUUUACCAGGUCUGUCCGGCAGUCUGCCCCGCCAUCGGAUCCAACUCACCACCAGGUGGUGAUCAGUUGACAGCUCUGCACCUCUCUUCACCCGAGUGUCCAAAACAUACGGCCGCAGGUCUGAUGAUACGACUAUAAAGUCGAUCAUCGACCUUUGGCCUAAGGUGCUCUGGUACCAGGUACACUUAAGAGCAACCUUAUGUUCAAACAUGGUGUUUGUUAUGGACAAUCUAUGACUAGCACAUAAGUCCAAUCACAAAACACCACUCGGGUUCAGAUCGGGCAGGCAGUUCCUCCCAAUCACCCCCCUCCAGGUUUCUCCAUCAUUGCCCACAUGAGCGUUGAAGUCUCCCAGGAGAACUAUGGAAUCCCCAGGCGGUACCCCUUCCAGGACACCACCCAGAGACUCCAAGAAGGCUCUGAACUGCUGUUUGGCUUAUAAGCACAGACAACAGUCAGAGUUUUCCCCUCUGCAACACGAAGUCGCAGAGAGGCGACCCUCUUGUUCUCCGGGGAGAACUCCAACAAAGCGGUGCUCAGCCGGGGGCUUGUGAGUAUCCCCACACCCGCCUGGCGCCUCUCACUUUGAGCAGGAGAGAGUCCAACCCGUUUCCAGGAUUCUGGUUCCAGAACCCUUGCUGUGCGUGGAGGUGAGCCCAACUAUAUCUAGCCAGUAUCGCACCACCUCCCGCUCCAGCGCAGGUUCCUUCCCCGCCAGUGAGGUGACGUUCCACAUCCCUAGACCUAGUCUACACCACCAGGGGGCGGCACGCCCAGGCGCCCGCUCCUCCCUACUGCCCAGUGGACAUAGCACCCGACCCCGACUUCCUGCCCUGUAAGUGGUGGGCCUACUGGGCGGUGGCCCCGUGUGUCUUCUUCGGGUUGUGCCCGACCGAGCCCCACGGGACCCCAAGGCUCGGCCACCAGAUGCUCUCCUACGAGCUCCCCCCCCAGGCCUGGCUCCAGGGGAAGGCCCCGGUCUCCCUAACCCGGGCGAGGUAGCGGCUUCACCUUUGUGUGUUCUCAUCAGGGUUUUCUGAAUCGCUCUUAGUCUGGUCUCUCCCCCAGGACCAGUUUGCCUUGGGAGACCCUACCAGGGGCUUAUGCCCCGGACAACAUAGCUCCCAGGAUCACUGAGACACUCAAACCCCUCCACUAAUUCAGGUAUACACAUGAUUUCUUUUGACCUAGAUGACAAAAAAAAUUUACCUGCAAAUAUUUGUAAAAGGAAUUUGAUUCUUUUCAGACAGGUCACUGAAUGUAAGCAAUUUUCCAUCAAUAUAAAGAUCCCUUCAAUUCAAUUCAAAAGAACUUUAUUUUUCUGAUAAUGCCUGGAUGUCCUUAAUUUUCCGUAUUUUAAUUCCUCCAUCUUUUCUGCCAUGAUUAUUAUUCCAUAGAGGGGUAAACUGAUACAUAGUUACAAAUUCUCCCACGUCUGUGCGCUGUGUGCCAUAUAAUAAUAGUAUUUUUCAAGAAUGGUUUUUGGUUUUUUUUUCAGUUUUUAAAUCUGUGGAAUAAAGAGAAUUACAUAUUGGUAAUUCUGGAAUAGAUUGUUGUUCAAUAUUUACCCAAGCUGGAGGGGACUUUGUAUAAAAAUAAUAUGAAGCUGAUGUGAGCUUUGCCCCCAUAUAGUACCAUCUUAAAUUUGGAAUUUGUAGGCCCCCUCUUUCAUAAGGCAGGUAUAAGGAUUUAAGGCGUAGUGUUGCUUUCCUAUUAUUCCAAUCAAUCAAUCAAUCUUUAUUUAUAAAGCACUUUUCAUACAUUAGACAUGCAGCACAAAGUGCUUUACAUAGAAUAAAACGCACAGAGAAUAAAACACACACACACACACACACACACACGCACACACACGCACGCACGCACACACACACACGCUUACCCGAAGAGCCGCCCGAAGAGGAAACACCAUCUUUGAGAGCCGUCUGCACCCGGGGCAGCAGACGCCGACAGCCCAAACACCAGCCUAGGGUGCACCACGGCAGGGGCAGAGGGAAAGGCAGAAGCCUCCCCACCUCCCAAAAUGCCAGAGUGGAUCCCAGGCUGGUGUCACUGGACUGAGAGCCAGCCACAGCCCCAGAUGCAGACGGCCCCAAACUGAGGAAACAUAGGAAUGUAGAAUAAAUCAAAAAUAACUAAACGCAUUAAGAAUAUAACUAAGACUGUGUAAAACAGGAUCUUAAAACAAAUGUUAAAAUAAAUAAAAUACAUAAACAGAAGAGUACAUAAAAUAUAAAUAAGUGCAUACAUGUAGAUAUAAAUAAUAAAUACAGACAUAAAGGUAAAAGCCAAUGUAAAAAGGUGAGUCUUAAACCUGUUUUUGAAAGUCUCUACAUUCUCUGCAGCCCUCAGGUCCUCUGGCAGGCUGUUCCACAGACGAGGGGCAUAGUACUGGAAAGCUGCCUCGCCGUGGGUUGUUGUAUUAACCUUGGGAAUCAUUAAAAGGCCAGUGCCAGAGGACCUCAGGGUCUGUGAGGGCUCACAGGAUAAAAUUAGAUCUGAGAGGUAAGAUGGCGCAAGACUGUGAAGACAUUUAAAAACCAUUAAGAUAACCUUAAAAUCAAUCCUAAAGCACACAGGGAGCCAAUGCAGUGAUUUUAAACCGGUGGAAUGUGAGCCUGCCUUCUGGUCGUCGUCAGAACUCGUGCAGCUGAGUUCUGGAGUAAUUGGAGAUGGGAAAUAGUUUGAAUUGGCUAAAUACCUUAUUUAAGUUUUCAAAGAAGAAAGGUGGUAUUGGCAAGGGAAGUGUCUGAAAGUAAUACAAAAAGUUUGGCAAAAUUGUCAUUUUUAAAAUAUUUAUUUGCCCUAUCAUUGAUAUGGGUAAAUUAGACCAUACACUAAACACUUCUGUGACAUCUUCUACCAGGGGGUUAUAGUUUGCAGCAACUAUUAUAUUAUUAUAUUAUAUCUGGAAUAAUUUUAAUGCCUAAAUAUUGAAAACCAUCUGUUGCAAUUGUAAAUACAGUGUUUAGAGUAGGAUUUUUUUUCUGUUUUCUCAUUCAAAAACACAAGUAUAGAUUUUGUGUUCUUGAUUUUAUAACCUGAAUUCACCAAACUCAUCAAUUAACCUCACCAAGUUGGGAAGGGUGUCAUUGAGAUCUGUCACAAAAAAUAUGAUAUUGUCUGCAAAAAGUGAAAUACAAUGAUUUGGUCCUCCAAUACUGACACCUGAUAGUCCCUCUCGAGUUCUCACUGCAACGGCCAACGGUUCCAAAGCUACUGUGAACAGUAAUGGGGACAGCAUACACCCUUGUCUAGUCAAGUGCUGUAAAGGGUUUCGAGAUAUUAUUGUUAGUGAGAAUUUGUGCAGUAGGAUUUGUAGAUAACAAUCUAACCCAGUGAAUAAAUGAUUCUCCCAAACCAAAUCUUGAAAGGAGUUUUAAAAGAGAAUUCCACUCUAUUCUGUCAAAUGCUUGACAUGCAUCUACUGACAGCAUUGCUGUAUCUUUUGCAUCCAAUUUUUCAUUGAGGAGUUAAUUGAGGCUCCGCUCGUACCUGACUGUGAGACUUUAUUUUGUUCUCUUUAUUUUAUUGUUUUUUAUUAUUUUAUCGUUUAUUGAACCUUCACACAGGCUACUGUGGGCUGUAGCCCAUGCAAAAAUAACUACAAAAACCUGAUAGCUUAGCUCCAGAAUUAGUCGCCGUUCAUAGCUCUCUCUCGCUCGACACACACACUGGCAUGGAGUAACACACACAGACACACAACUGCCAACUCUGAGCCAAUCAGAGGUGAGCUAACUAUACACGGCACGUUCACUGACAUUAGGUAAACCUCCAACUGAGCAAUAAACAUUGAAAUCUCAACAUCAACAACAAUAUCAGUAUCAAUGCAUUUUUUAAAACAAGAAAACCAAAAGUGAUGAGCUGUAAACAUGUAUUAUAACUAACUAUAAAUUGUAUUUUGUACACCUCAGGAUGCCUGCUUCUUCAAAUAUUUGGGUACUAUGGAUUUGAAAGUGGAGGCACCAAGAGAUUAGUUAUCUAAUGUUUAACAUCAUGAAGUUGCCAUGGUGAUUGUCUGAAAACCACACAGUGGCUUCAUUAUGCAUCUGAAGUUUUGUCUUGUAUUAGUCAUGUAAUACUGUGAUAAAUGUUUUGGUACACCACAUAUUUUAAUGGUACACUAACAAUUCUUUAUUUAUUUAUUUAUUUAUUUAUUUUUACCAAAUCAUGGAUGGAUGCACCACAGCAUGAGGAAUCCCUAACAGCUGUCUUUCACUUUGCUACUGGAAGAUGCCUCAAAUUUCUAAUGGACUUUUCCAUGGUUUCUCAGCGGUGCCUGUUUUACUGUUCAUUGCCUCAAAAUGAAGAAUUUACCAAAAACAAACCAUGCUAACAAGAAUUAUAUGGUGUGUUACAGGUAUGGUGUUACUAAUGUCGCUCAUUGUAGAGUCAAGGUGUGUUCACACUGAACAGGAAGCCAGUUUUAUAGACAACAAAUCUGCAUAUAAAGUCAAAUUAAGACAGGCCUGAACAUGGACAGUCUGAAUGUUUAAAUUUGAAGUGUAACCCUUUGCGUGCCAGAGUUCAGAUAACAGAGUGUAACGGAUUUGAAUUGAGAAUGUUAAAAGAACAUGCAAAACAUUGAAAUACACUGAAAGAAUAGUUUACUUGAUGUGCCACAAUAGAAAUUAUCCAGGUGAUUUUAUGUAAUAAGUUAACAGACAAUCCAAUAUACAAUAUCACUCAAACUUUUGUAUGUGUACUUCUCAGUUCUGUCUGAACACACCUUUGGACAUUAGACGAUUGCAGCACUGUAAAAUUCUGUUUUGUUUGUUAAAUUGGUAGAACUUUUAGGUAUGUAUGCCUACUAUGAAGUCAAAUUACAAAAGCCCAAAAGGUAUAUAAAGGCACAAUUAUCUCUGAGGCCCUGAUGACAGUGUACUGACACAAUUUACAGGUUUGAAUCUUAGUAAUGUUUCAAUCUUAGUAAUGAUGAAAAUCACCACUUUUCUAUGCACAACAGUUCAUAUCACCAUAUGAAUAAUGUGAAUACGUGUGAAUAAUGCUUUUGUUUUUAAUCAAGUUUAUCUUAGUAAAAUCUGAGUGAAUAAGCUGCUGUAGACUGAUCUCAAUCCUAGAAAUGAAGUAUUCCAUGGUGGCAAAGAAAAUGCAUGAGCUGUGAUUGAUUGAUCUGUUGAAUUGUCUUUGAUUACUUUUGCUUUUGCUCUGGGUUGGACAAGUCUGGCUCAGGUGACAGCUGACAGCUUUGAAAAACUUGUUCCUGAACAGUUUAUGGUAAUGAUUACAAUAAUGUGUGGAAAAUAUGAUGUAUAUUAAAUAUAUCAGCUGCAAAUACAUUGAUUAAAUGAUGAAAAAUGACAUUUUAAGACAAGUACAACAUGAUUUUUCAGAUAUAUUUCUGCAUUGACAUUCAACUAUACUGACACUUUCUAAUAGAAUCAUCCCAAAUAUUUCAACAAUUGUAUACUGUAGUCCACUGCAGGGUGAGUGACCUGUGCAGCCCAAGUACUUGGUGUAAAAUUUUCAAUAAUUCAAUUCAAUUCAGUAUUAUUUACACUGUGCCAAUUACAUUUCAGAUUGUCUCAAGAUGCUUUACCGAAUCCAUAUACCUCAACCCGUAGAGCAAGCCCUAAGGUGACAGUGGCAAGGAAAAACUCCCUUUUAACAGGAAGAAACCUUGAGACGAACCUGGCUCAUAUUGGGGAACCAUGUGCCACUGGCUGGCCAGGUUGAGACAGACAGAACAGGUAGAGGACGAGGAUGAGAGGGAUGAAGAAAACAUAUAACACGCAGUGGCAAACAUGCAAGGAUCGAUGAUACAUACAAAGUGAUGCAUAAUGAAUAUAGUCAAUACCAGAGCCGUGCAUCACACCAGCAAACUUGACAAUCCGUUUCAAUGAUGGCUUGUACAUUGUAUAUAUCAUCUAUCUCACUGUUAUCAUGCAUAUGUUCCAAUAUGUGUUAUGUGUUUCUUCUAUAAAUCUAUAUGUUACUGUUAAUUGCUAUGUACUAAAAAUACCUAAUCAAAUUCCUUGUAUGUGAAAACCCACUUGAAAAUAAAAACCUUUCUGAUUCGGAUUCUUAUAGUCAUUUAGAUCAUACCUUUUCUUGUAAUCUAUUGAGAUUAACGUAUAUUUCUGCUGCAUAAUUAGGAAUUACAUAAUGGCUAAGGUUAAUGUACCAUUUUAGUCUCUCUUCUCUUCUUGUUGUCUCUCUAUAGAUUUAUAUGUCACCAUUACAGGUCACAAACACUGCAUCUUCUCUCUCCUCCAGUUUGUGUUUUGUCCUCUUUACAGGUACCUCUGGCUGCCAAGUGACAUAUUUCUGAUCUGCAAUUACAGGCUUCACCAAUCUGAAAGUGUUUAUUGCUUUUGCACUGCUUGUCUGUUUUCACUAUUUACUUGCAACUAGACUAGAGAUGGGAAUAUGGAAUUUAUAGAAAGCUACUACAGUGGCAGGCCUAAUGAAGGAGACCAUAUGUAAUGCAUGUAGAACCUGUGGAUGGGUUGUAGACUGACUGAUUGAUGUGGACAUCAGUCAAGAAGCAUCUGGUAGCACAUUGCUCUAAAAACAUAUAGUAGGGAGGUUAAACCCAAAAAAUACGCUUUUGACUUCAAGUCAUGAUGCAAAGGUCCCCUUUGGUAUGGAAGUACCUUAGGGUCAUACAAAUAAAUUUAUCCUAAGACACAAGUGAGAUCACCUUUUGUAUUGGAAAUAAACACAUUUUUUCAAAAAUGGCCGCCAAUGUGCUGAAAAUCCUCUAGAGCACAUAUCCUUGCUUCUCUUAUAGGUAUAAUGACAACCUUGGUGUCAAAGUGUACAUUUUUGUGGUCAAGGAACCCAAUAAAAUAAGUUUCAAGUUUAAAAUACUAAUGGCUUUCCCUUUACCAUGACAACUGGGGGUAAAGAUGCACAUUUUACAUAAAAAUUGUGUCAUCAGAGUGACUUUAUUUAUCAUUUCCUUCAAAAAGUUUUUCAUUAAAGCAGUGCAACUACUUCUGUACAUUACAUGUGUCCUAAGUAGCAUGAGAUUUCAACUGGUCGGGAGUAGCAUAUGCUCAGAUGGACCAGCCAGGGAUUGUAACAGCUAUAGCAGCUGUUGAAGGUCCAAAGUGACAGGUCGACACUUUGAGGUUCGUAUGCCUUUCUCAUUGAAUAGAAAAUAUUUUUUAAAGUUUGAUAAUUAAUAACUAGCUAGUUAAUAAAUAGUUCGCUACAUUAUAGCUAGCUAGCUACCAACUACUUAGCUUCAUUAUUGAAGCAAGCACAUAGCCUACAUUUUGCUAGUUAGUUAGCUUCAUUAUUAUACAUACCGGUAUAUACACAAAUGAAUUUCACUUUAGCUUAUUGCAUAUGAUAGCUUGCUAACUCUAAUUAAGUGAGUGUGUGUCGUCUGUUGGAAAGUCUGAUACCAGCAUGAAGGAAGGACCUGCGGUAACGCUCCUUCACACACCUGGGAUAAUCAGUCUGUCACUAAAGGAGCUGUCUGGUGCCCUCAGAGUGGGGUGGGAGAUGCUGCCCAGCAGGGAUGUUAGCUUGGCUAACAUCCUCCUUUCUCCCACCACCUACACUGGAUCCAGGGGGCUCCCCAGGACAGGGCAGGCCAUCCUGAUCAGCCAAUCAAGUCUGCUUUUGCCAGCAGCUGUUAUGCUGCUGCCCCAGCAAACUACUCCAUAUAAGAUGGCCGAUGCCACCACAGAGUCAUAAAAAGUCUUCAGGAGUGUCCCCUACACCCCAAAAGACUGCAGUCUCCUCAUUAGACAGAGUUUUGACCCUUCUUCUAAAGUGCUGUGGCGUGGUCUGACCAGUCCAGUUUAUUGUUCAGGUGAACACACAGGUACUUGUAUGAGUCCACUCUCUCCAUGUCCAUGCCCUGGAUGUUCACCAGUGGUGGGGGUGUGUGACUGCGCCUGUGGAAGUCUAUCAUCAGUUCUCUGGUCUUUCCUGAGUUGAUCUGUAGGCAGUUCCACUGGCAUCAGUCCACAAAGUCCUGGUUCAGUUCUCUGCACUCCCAAUCAUCAUCAUCAUCUGAGAUGAGACCGAUGACUGCAGAGUCAUCACCAUUGUUCCCUCUAAUUUUUCAUGAGUCUGAGCAAACACACAAAUUCACUGAGCAGACCCUUGGACCACUGUGAGCAACAUCAGACGUGUGCACUGUGGUCACGCCAGCAUGGCAUCCAUCCAAGUUACAUGGUUUGCUAAAAGAACCAAAUGACAGCAUUUACAUUUCUGUUAAACACUUUGUCAGCAGGAGCCUGUCGAAGGCUGCAGUGAUUUUGGUGAUGCUACAAUGUAUAAUAGUGAAGUUAUUGAAUAUUUUUGUGUCUUUUUGCUGUUGUAGACGGUCCCUGUUCACUCCAUAGACACCCGUGUUAUUUCUGCAGCUUGAAAGACAGCUACUUUUGAUAAAACUGGGCUUGUAGCACAUUGUGUGCCUUACAGCGAUGGGAAAGAGGCAUCGUUUAUGUUUUUGACAACCUAUAUCUAACGAGUUAUAGAUGCUGGAACUCUGAAUCUGUGAAUAUCUUUCCAACUUUACUGAACUUGGGGCCACUACCACCCGAGGAGUGGCAUAUUUAAUUUUGAAAAAAGCAUUUAGCAAUACUUAAAGCUUUAAGUGCUUUAUUAACACGGAACUAAGACUUUUGCAUUCUUUUAUGACAACAGGUUAUGUCUGAAAAGAAGUGGUAUCAUUUUAAACAGUGAAACUAUACUAAUGAAAUAAAAUGUAAUGACCAACCAGUGUGUAAUACUGGCGAUACUGCGAGCAGCGGAGCUUCUACAGCUGAUCGCCGCUGCUUGGGACACACCGCUGCUGCUGGUACAACCGUGUCCGACCAGUAGCGCGAACGCAGAAAUGCCCGGCAGUAGCCGACCACGCGAGUUUCGUGUUGCGGUGACGGACUGGCUUGAGUCCGUGCCAAAUCAAAUUUUCAAAAUCAUCUGGCGGGCCAGAUAUUAUUCCUGACGGGCCAGUUUUGGCCCGCGGGCCGCCAGUUACCGACCACUGCUGUAGAGUCUAUGACCACAUCAGCAGGAUUAUAAGCAUAAUCUGGUAAAUUCACAAACAUAUACUGUAGGAAAUCCAACUUAUCUCAUCAUGACCUGCAUGACCUCUCUAGUCUCAUGUUUCUUACAUGUUUGUCUCCUGAUGCUGCCUUACUUCAGCUAGUCCACGAGCAACAGAAAACACAGUUUUUCUUGUACCCAUUGCCAGGGGUUCGAGUCUUCCCACUCAAACAUUUUUGCUUCUUUGGACAUGGUGGAGUUACGGGUGUAGACAUUUUUAAAUGUGCAGAGCAGUGCGCAGAACAGACGCUGCUGUCUGUAACCAGGCAACCUGCGACAGGACCAUAGGACCGGGCAUACAAAGAAGCAUAGAUAUAUAUAGAAGACUAGAUACGCUAGCGUGCUGUAGCAGCCGGCUAACAUGGCUGCACAUAGGACAUCUGUAAAGGACGUUGAUUAGCUGCGUAAAUACCUAUGUGAAUCACAUCAUUGGCUGGAGCAGCCAGUCACGGGUCACUCACUGACUCACACUGAAAAAUAGCACAGAAUGAAUUGUUAUGAAUUUAUUUUAUUUUCAAUUUAGGUUGGAUUUUUUUUUGUGCGCAGCGCAGAUUUUCUGUGUGCUGAGACUGUGUCAGGAGUGCGCAAUUGCGCACGUGUGCAGCUUACAGGGAACGGUGGUCAUCAGAGAACUUCUGCAGAUGACAGCUGGCUGAGUGGUCCAUGAAGUCUGCAGUGUACCGGGUGAAAAGAAACGGAGCCAAGACCAUUCCCCGUGGGGCCCCUGUGCUGCAGACCACCAUGUCAGACUCACAGUCCUGUGUCCUCACAACCUGUGGUCUGUCUGUGAGGUAGUCCAUUAUCCUACCCAAGAGGUGGUGAUCCACUCCUGUGACAUCCAGCUUGUCCCUCAGAAGAACCGGCUGAAUCGUAUUAAAACCACUGGAGAAAUCAAAGAACAUGAUUCUCGCAGUACUUGCAGGCUUCUCCAAAUGGGACAGAGCUCUGUCCAGGGGGAAGAUGACAGUGAUGGCAAUCAUGUUAAAAAAAAAGCUGUAGAUAAGAUCAAGGACCCUCCUGAAGUGGUGCGAGUCACUAUGUAGUGCAGGUGAUGAGUUAAAAUCCAGCCAUGUGGCACAAAAGCUGCAGAAAUGCUGUUGCAUCACAGAGGCUACUUCACCCAUCAAAAUCAUACGUGUUGCCACUGUUCACAGAGUCGUCUACCAGCCCCACUAUAGCUUAGCAUGCAAUGAAAGUCCUCAGACAAAUAAUCAGGUACCUUAGCCCAGGUCAGACAUCCAUGCUCCAGAGAUUUGUCCCGAUGCUCUGUGGUGUAUCUGAGGACAACAUCACAACUGUGGAAGCUGCACAACUCUCCCUCUUCUUUCACAAAGGAAAAGAUUUUCACCACAUUCCACCAAGUAGUGAUGCACUCCAUCAGCACCUCCUUCAAGUAGCUUGUCAGAUAGGAAAAAAUUGUGUAGGGACAUAAUAUAAAUAUGGCUAAGAAUAAUGGAGGGCCUUGGUAUCACGGAUCAUGUUUCUCUUUAGAGUGGACAUGUAUGGGGCAAGGCACUUGUCCAACACCACAAUUUUUCCGUGUCUAUGGGGAUGGCAGCAGAGUUCCCCAGACUCUCCACCAACUCCUGUCUACACUACAACUGCCACUAUUUCAAAGGACUUGCCUGAUCUUGUCAUGUGCAAAUUUAAGACUGGCUGUAAGGCACCUUGCAAAUGCUGCAUGCAGAGACUGCUUUGCAUGUCUUUCUGUGGAUGUCAUGGCUCAUGUUCCCACCGUUGUGCAGACAUCUAUAUAGUCAAUCAUCUUUGUGAUGUAUUUACACCAAGCUAUUAGUCUUCAUCACUAAAAAAAUGUAGGUAUGGCAUUGCCUACUUCUAAAAUGUGAACAUACACUAAUGGAAAUAAAUGUUAGAGCACCUUUGUUUUCCUCAGUUUCUUGUUCAUUUUAAUUCCCGGUACCACUAAAGGUACAUUUGUUUGGACAAAUAUAAUGACAAAAACAAAAAUAAUUCAUGAGAGUUCAAUUUCAGAGCUGGUAUCAGACAUUUUCCAUGGUUUUCUUGAUAAUAACCAAAAGCACUUCAGUUCUUCCAUCAAUAGCUAUGGCAUUGCUCUACCAAAAACAGCUUUUAGGAUUCCAUGUUUUCUUUUCUGCCUGUUUUAGUCCCAUGAUCCACACAGGAGUUAGUACUGAUCCAUAACCAUUGUUUCUGAUGACUGCAGCCAUGCAUUUUGGCAUGCUCUCUACCAGCUUCUGACAUUGUUCUGCUGUCACAGCAACCCAUUCCUGUUGCAUGAAUUCUAAAUAAUUUGCUUUGUUUUGGGGCUUGUGGUUCUCCAUUUAGAUUCCUUGACCCCAAAAAUGUACACUUUGACACCCAGUUUGCCAUUAUAGCUAUAACAGCCUUUCAAGGAUGGUCGGCGGUCAUUUUAAAAAUGGCCGCCAAAGUGUGAUCUCACUUGUGUCUUAGGAUAAAUUUACUUGUAUGACCCUAAGGUACUUCCAUACCAAAGGGGACCUUUGCAUCAUGAUUUGAAGUCAAAAGUCACUUAACCUCCCUACUAUAUUGAUGUAUGUCUUCGAUUCUGAUCAUGCAUGUAAAAUCUGAGUCAGAUUGGAGAAUGCAGAGGAUAAUUACACAGCAGUUAUGUUUAAUAGCGAAGCAUAAAAAUUCUGGAGGCUGCCAUGGCCACGCCCUCUGACUGAAAAUGAAAAUUUUGAUAUUUUUUGAUCACAAAUACUUGUUGUACAUACUGAUAAAGUUUGAGGUCUUUUGGAGUUACCCCCUAUGAGGACUACACUUUCAAAAAUGACAAAAAUCCCCAAAAUUCUCACAAUUACUCCAAGAUGGCAGACUUCCUGUUGGGUUUCGGGCAUGGCUCCAAGAGGCUUUUUCUGUGUCUCUAUAGGCCUCCCAAAUUUCGUGGAUGUAGGUUAAACACACUUCGGGGGCUGUUUGGUAAUAAUGCUGCAGGGAGCGCUAUAGCAUGUGCGGCGAGAUGCAUGCAGUGUCCUUCCUUGGGUCAAUGGUGAUGUGUGUGGUAAUUUUGAUGAGCGCUGAAGUAUUAAUAACCUGUCAAAAAUUAUUUUGUUUGCCACAGCGAUAUUUGGUUUCUAAGGCAACAGCAUUGCAGGAAGUGUCAAAGCCUUCAGGGUGUGGAGUUGUCAAGAGGUGAAGACUGGGCUGACCAAUUUCAAGCAUUAUAUCACAAAAUUUCAGGCCAUAGUACCCGAAAAUAUAAUGCCUUAAACUUACUGUUACCAACAGGUGGUGCUUUGAUUUUUUUGAAAAUGUUUGAGUGUGGAUGUCUUCAGUGUUCCUCGUGUCCAGCAUGUGAAGUUUUGAGCAGAUAGGAUCUUGUGCAGCUGAGAUAUAAAUUUUGAUGCUUUGCCAUGAAACAUAGCUGCUGUGUAACUAUCCUCUGCAUGCUCCAAUCUGCCUCAAAUUUUACAUGUGUGAUCAGAGUCCAAUCCUGAUCCCAUCUUUAGGCCAAUAUACACUCUCGAUUGCAGCGCCACCUGGUGGAUGAACAGGAAAUGCUCUGUAAAUAGCCUGUACAUGCUCCAAUCUGUCUGAAACUGUUACAGUCACAGCUGUGACUAGGUGGCAGUGCUCUCCCCUCCUCUGGCCUGUUUUUUUUCUCUCUCUCUCUAGGUGUGUGGCGGUGGUGGUUGGCAGGUGUGGCUGGUUUCCAAUCAGCUGAUCGGGUGCAGGUGGGAGUCGCUCAUCAGGCUGGCUUGGUUCAUUAUAAAGAGUGACUCGUCCCGUCUGUUGGUGCUGGACCGUAUCUUAAUUACAUAUCGAUUCCUGCCUGCUUGCAACCAUCAAUCCCGGCUGGAAAACCUCCUGCCCAGGCAUCCGUGCGUCACAAGGACUGAGGGCUUCUCCUAGGAACCGCUGUGGGUGAGGAGGAAUUUGGAUUCGGCCAAACCAUAACUAGAACGCCGUUCUGGUCGGAAAUUGGAGACCCUCGUUCCUGUCUGUAUUCCAUCUGCGUGCCAAGGACUCCAUUCACAGGAUGCCUAUAACUUGAGUUUCCACUCCAUGGCAAAAACAGAGAGACUAUUCAGUUAAGUUCUCAUUCUGGCUGUAUCAGAGAGCAGAGCUUGUUGUUACGUUUAGUUUGCACCUACUUGAGUAGAGGGAAUUCUGGGUUUUUUGGAUUUAAGUUCUAUUGUAGUGUUUCUGCCUUCCCACUCGGGGAAAUGUAGUGCUGUUACGCUUGAUGCAUAUUCUGAGUUGUUUCCUGUUUCCAGUUCCUGUUGUGCUUGUUUUGUUUUUGCCCUAGUGCAAUAAAUCUUUGUUUCAACUGGG